rnacentral:rRNA from 1 species
AUUGAACGCUGGCGGCAUGCUUUACACAUGCAAGUCGAACGGCAGCGCGCGGUUCGGCCUGGACGCGUGUGGCGCACGGGUGUGUAAUGCAGCGGAACGUGCCCACGAGGGGGGGAUAUCCCGGCGAAAGCCGGAUUAAUAGCGCACACGACCUGAGUGUGAAAGCGGGGGACCGAAAGGUCUCGCGCUUUUGGAGCGGGCGAUGUCGGAUUAGAUAGUUGGUGGGGUAAAGGCUUACCAAGGCGACGAUCCGUAGCUGGUCUGAGAGGACGACCAGCCACACUGGGACUGAGACACGGCCCAGACUCCUACGGGAGGCAGCAGUGGGGAAUUUUGGACAAUGGGCGCAAGCCUGAUCCAGCAAUGCCGCGUGCGGGAAGAAGGCCUUCGGGUUGUAAACCGCUUUUGUUCGGGAAGAAAUCCUCUGGGCUAAUACCCCGGGGGGAUGACGGUACCGGAAGAAUAAGCACCGGCUAACUACGUG